rnacentral:rRNA from 1 species
UACGUAGGGAGCAAGCGUUAUCCGGAUUUAUUGGGUGUAAAGGGUGCGUAGACGGGUGAUCAAGUUAGUUGUGAAAUCCCUUAGCUUAACUGAGGAACUGCAACUAAAACUGAUUAUCUUGAGUACAGGAGAGGUAAGUGGAAUUCCUAGUGUAGCGGUGAAAUGCGUAGAUAUUAGGAGGAACACCAGUGGCGAAGGCGACUUACUGGACUGAAACUGACGUUGAGGCACGAAAGUGUGGGGAGCAAACAGG